GCUGUGCUAGUAUAAUAUAAUAUGUGUGAUUUCCAAUCACAGGAUCCUUUUAUGGGCGCGGUA
rnacentral:tRNA from 1 species